rnacentral:rRNA from 1 species
AGAGAGAGACAUGCGCGCAUAUCAAUAAGCGGAGGAAAAGAAACUAACUAGGAUUCCCUCAGUAACGGCGAGUGAAGCGGGAAGAGCUCAAAUUUGAAAUCUUCAAGGUUUUACCUUGACGAAUUGUAGUUUAAAGAAGUGUUUUCUGCUGAAGUUUUGGUAAAAGUUCUUUGGAAUAGGACAUCAUAGAGGGUGAGAAUCCCGUAUUUGACCAUUAUUUUCAGCUUUGUGAUACACUUUCAAAGAGUCGGAUUGUUUGGGAAUGCAGUCCAAAAUGGGUGGUAAGUUUCAUCUAAAGCUAAAUAUUGGCGAGAGACCGAUAGCGAACAAGUACCGUGAGGGAAAGAUGAAAAGAACUUUGAAAAGAGAGUUAAACAGUACGUGAAAUUGUCAAAAGGGAAGCGUUUGACACCAGUGUUGUUUUCUCGAAAAUCAAUUAAAAAUGGCUCGAUUUUGUAUUGCUGAGACCUUAAAGGCUCACUGUACAUUUUUCGUGUCUUUUUUAAUGCACUUUUCGUUUAACAAGUCAACAUCAGUUUCUUUUGUUGUAAAAGGGUCAUUGGAAGGUGGCUUUCUUUUCGGAGAAAGUGUUUAUAGCCUUUGGCCUCUGCAAUCGAAGAGACUGAGGUCUGCAGCGUAGACUCUUCGGGGUUAGAUACAUUUGUGCUAAGUUAUAGCUUUUUAUAGACAACUUGUUGACUAUAAUUAGUCUUGUAGCUUACUCGCUUAUGCUAUUUUACCUACGCUUAGGAUGUUGAAGUCAUCGUAUCGCGC